rnacentral:lncRNA from 1 species
UUCUACCACUCAUUUAACCUAAUCAUCAUCUCCUUUCAUCUUCAACCUUCACAUUCUCUCUCUCAAAAUUCCCAAAGCCUUUAUAACCAAAAGUCUUAAAGCUUCAACCUCUAACAUGUUCUCCCCACCAAAACACAAACUCCCUUCACAAACUCCCUUCACCAAAUACAACCCUACACAACAUUCCCUAACCAAAAAUCCCAACCACGCACUUUGAAAAGUUUCUCCAAUUUCUUCAACUUCAACAAUGGCACCCAAGAAGUCUGACAAAGGAAAACAACAAUAAACUACAAGAGUAAA